rnacentral:hammerhead_ribozyme from 1 species
AUCCGGCUGACAGGUCUCGAACUGGACGAAACGCGUGUCCUGGAU